GUACACUCCUGCGGGAGGCAGCAGUGGGGAAUAUUGGACAAUGGGCGCAAGCCUGAUCCAGCCAUGCCGCGUGAGUGAUGAAGGCCCUAGGGUUGUAAAGCUCUUUCACCGGAGAAGAUAAUGACGGUAUCCGGAGAAGAAGCCCCGGCUAACUUCGUGCCAGCAGCCGCGGUAAUACGAAGGGGGCUAGCGUUGUUCGGAAUUACUGGGCGUAAAGCGCACGUAGGCGGAUCGAUCAGUCAGGGGUGAAAUCCCAGGGCUCAACCCUGGAACUGCCUUUGAUACUGUCGAUCUGGAGUAUGGAAGAGGUGAGUGGAAUUCCGAGUGUAGAGGUGAAAUUCGUAGAUAUUCGGAGGAACACCAGUGGCGAAGGCGGCUCACUGGUCCAUUACUGACGCUGAGGUGCGAAAGCGUGGGGAGCAAACAGGAUUAGAUACCCGAGUAGUCCCAU
rnacentral:rRNA from 1 species